AUCCAGCUGACGAUUCCCAAACAGGACGAAAGGUGCAUCCUGGAC
rnacentral:hammerhead_ribozyme from 1 species